rnacentral:rRNA from 1 species
GGAUAGGUGGGAGGCUUUGAAGCGGGGACGCCAGUUCUCGUGGAGCCAUCCUUGAAAUACCACCCUGGUUUGUUUGCGGUUCUAACCUAGGCCCGUUAUCCGGGUCGGGAACAGUGCAUGGUAGGCAGUUUGACUGGGGCGGUCUCCUCCCAAAAGGUAACGGAGGAGUUCGAAGGUACGCUUGGUACGGUCGGAAAUCGUGCCUAAAGUGCAAUGGCAAAAGCGUGCUUAACUGCGAGACCGACAAGUCGAGCAGGUGCGAAAGCAGGACAUAGUGAUCCGGUGGUUCUGUAUGGAAGGGCCAUCGCUCAACGGAUAAAAGGUACUCUGGGGAUAACAGGCUGAU